AGAGAGUUUAGCAGAGCUCAGAUGUUUGUCCUCGACACAAGCUGAAAUUUGCUCUUCAGCUUAGAGUAAACAGGACAGAGGUGAGAGGAACGGCAGCAGGAAUAGAAGGAGAAGAAGAAGAGAGUGGAGAGGAGGUGAAGACAUGGCCAUGGAGGGAGAAAGGAACAGGACAGAGACUUCAACAGUAGAACUCACCCCAGAGGCCAUCGGCUUUCUGUCGGCGGUGGGCGUCUUUAUCGUGGCCUUGGCUGUUCUCUUCCUCUUCAUCAACAAGAAGCUGUGUUUCGCACGUAUCGGUGGUCUACCGUGUCUGGACCAACCCGGACGCCGACAGAAAGGACGAGCGGGCGUUCGCCAGGGUCUCGUCGUGUGCUGGGAGCCAGAGAUCAGCCACACAGACAGCGCCCACACCAGUGAGGCCUGAGCUGCAGCCGGCAUGGUUGUACUGACAGGACGCUGUGGUUAUUGAUGGUUACGGAUGGUUAUGGUUGUG
rnacentral:lncRNA from 1 species